AGAGUUUGAUCAUGGCUCAGGACGAACGCUGGCGGCGUGCCUAACACAUGCAAGUCGAACGGAGAUGUUGAUUUCGGUUGACGUCUUAGUGGCGAACGGGUGAGUAACGCGUGAACAAUCUGACCUUAAGAGGGGGAUAACAACGAGAAAUCGUUGCUAAUACCGCAUAAGACCACAAUGCCGCAUGGCGAAGGGGUCAAAGGAGCAAUCCGCUUAAGGAGGGGUUCGCGUCCCAUUAGGUAGUAGGUGAGGUAACGGCCCACCUAGCCGACGAUGGGUAGCCGAGCUGAGAGGCUGAUCGGCCACACUGGAACUGAGACACGGUCCAGACUCCUACGGGAGGCAGCAGUGGGGAAUAUUGGGCAAUGGGCGCAAGCCUGACCCAGCAACGCCACGUGAGGGAAGAAGGUUUUCGGAUUGUAAACCUCUGUCGCAGAUGACGAAACAAGUGACGGUAAUCUGUGAGGAAGCCCCGGCUAACUACGUG
rnacentral:rRNA from 1 species